GCGUGACAUCACAAUGUAUGUGCAGAUGCGCAAGCCUGAGAGGGGCGGGGCUUGAGACUGAAUGGUGGUGAGGUGGUCGGGGUCCAGGAGAUGCAGCAGGGAUGUGCCGCAGGCCAUGCAGGACUGAGAGCCCGUCACAUAGAUGAACCAACAGGCAGCAGAUGACUGCUUUACACCUGUAAGUCUUCCUGUAUAUGUGUGUGCUGGCAAGUGGGCAAUGAAGUCUUGCAGUGACAUGUGAUCAUGUCACCUGAACAGGAAUCCAUCUUUAACCUGGUGUCUUUCCAUUGAGAAGGAGGGGGUGGCAACCCAGAGAGGGACAAAGGAUUCCCACCUUAUGCAAAAGAGAUAUAAGUGGGUGGAACAGAACAAAGGGAGAGGAGGAGCCAUUAUGAAGAAUCCCCUAGAUACCACCUGAGCUGGAACAAGAGCUGUACCAGGGGAAAGAAUUCUGCCCAGGUCUGGAAGGUGGCCAAUCUGAGGAAAAAAACCUACUGAAACAUCUGUAUUCAGUUUGAUUAGACAUAGAUUUGCACAUUUUAUUUUAUUUUGCUUGGUGACUUACUUUGUUCUGUCUGUUACUACUUGGAACCACUUAAAUCCUACUUUCUGUAUUUAAUAAAAUCAUUUUUUACUUAUUAA